ensembl:processed_transcript
CGCCCUGCCUUCAUCUUCAGGCAGUAUUUGCCAGCUCUUCACGAGACCUGCAUCAUCAACAGUAUUUAGGCCAAAGGACUAAACACAAAGGGCUGAGCAAUCUGUCUGAAACGUGUCAUUAAAUAAUGACAUAUCUGCAGGGACAGAGUUACAAGAAAGCUGACCAAAAAUCUUCAGUACG